rnacentral:misc_RNA from 1 species
AAAGUCGUAACAAGGUUUCCGUAGGUGAACCUGCGGAAGGAUCAUUAACGAAUAAACUUGGUGGACUGUUGCUGGCUCCUCUGGGGGCAUGUGCACGUCUGUCAUCUUUAUCUUUCCACCUGUGCACUUUGUGUAGAACUUGGGAGACCAUCUAACUUUUCUGAGGCAACUCAGUUGUGAGGAUUUGCAGGCACCUGCGUAGGGGGUCAGCUUUCCUUGGAGGGGUUACCCAAGGCUCUAUGUUUUUCACAUACACCGAAUGAAAUGUAAUAGAAUGUAGUCCAUGGGUCUUUGCACCUAUAUAAAGUUAUACAACUUUCAGCAACGGAUCUCUUGGCUCUC